rnacentral:rRNA from 1 species
AUUGAACGCUGGCGGCAUGCUUUACACAUGCAAGUCGAACGGCAGCGCGGGCUUCGGCCUGGCGGCGAGUGGCGAACGGGUGAGUAAUACAUCGGAACGUGCCCAGUAGUGGGGGAUAGCUCGGCGAAAGCCGGAUUAAUACCGCAUACGACCUGAGGGUGAAAGCGGGGGAUCUUCGGACCUCGCGCUAUUGGAGCGGCCGAUGGCAGAUUAGCUAGUUGGUGGGGUAAAGGCCUACCAAGGCGACGAUCUGUAGCUGGUCUGAGAGGACGACCAGCCACACUGGGACUGAGACACGGCCCAGACUCCUACGGGAGGCAGCAGUGGGGAAUUUUGGACAAUGGGCGAAAGCCUGAUCCAGCAAUGCCGCGUGUGUGAUGAAGGCCUUCGGGUUGUAAAGCACUUUUGGCGGGAACGAAAAGGACUGUGCCAAUAACACGGUUCGAUGACGGUACCCGCAGAAUAAGCACCGGCUAACUACGUG